rnacentral:rRNA from 1 species
AGAGUUUGAUCAUGGCUCAGAUUGAACGCUGGCGGUAGGCUUAACACAUGCAAGUCGUGCGAGAAAGUACCUUCGGGUGCGAGUAGAGCGGCGGACGGGUGAGUAACGCGUAGGAAUCUACCUAGUAGAAGGGGAUAGCCCGGGGAAACUCGGAUUAAUACCGUAUACCUCCUUAGGGAGAAAGAGGGCUUAGCUUUGAUGCUCUCGCUAUUAGAUGAGCCUGCGUAAGAUUAGCUUGUUGGUGAGGUAAUGGCUCACCAAGGCGACGAUCUUUAGCUGGUCUGAGAGGACGAUCAGCCACAUUGGGACUGAGACACGGCCCAAACUCCUACGGGAGGCAGCAGUGGGGAAUCUUGCACAAUGGAGGAAACUCUGAUGCAGCGAUGCCGCGUGAGUGAAGAAGGCCUUUGGGUUGUAAAGCUCUUUCGUCGGGGAAGAAAAUGACUGUACCCGAAUAAGAAGGUCCGGCUAACUUCGUGCCAGCAGCCGCGGUAAUACGAAGGGACCUAGCGUAGUUCGGAAUUACUGGGCUUAAAGAGUUCGUAGGUGGUUGAAAAAGUUGGUGGUGAAAUCCCAGAGCUUAACUCUGGAACUGCCAUCAAAACUUUUCAGCUAGAGUUUGAUAGAGGAAAGCAGAAUUUCUAGUGUAGAGGUGAAAUUCGUAGAUAUUAGAAAGAAUACCAAUUGCGAAGGCAGCUUUCUGGAUCAAUACUGACACUGAGGAACGAAAGCAUGGGUAGCGAAGAGGAUUAGAUACCCUCGUAGUCCAUGCCGUAAACGAUGUGUGUUAGACGUUGGAAAUUUAUUUUCUGUGUCGCAGCGAAAGCGAUAAACACACCGCCUGGGGAGUACGACCGCAAGGUUAAAACUCAAAUGAAUUGACAGGGACCCGCACAAGUAGUGGAGCAUGUGGUUUAAUUCGAAGAUACGCGCAGAACCUUACCAACACUUGACAUGUUCGUCGCGACUUUAAGAGAUUAAAGUUUUCGGUUCGGCCGGACGAAACACAGGUGCUGCAUGGCUGUCGUCAGCUCGUGUCGUGAGAUGUUGGGUUAAGUCCCGCAACGAGCGCAACCCUCACUUUUAGUUGCCAUCAUUUAGUUGGGCACUCUGAAAGAACUGCCAGUGAUAAGCUGGAGGAAGGUGGGGAUGACGUCAAGUCCUCAUGGCCCUUACGUGUUGGGCUACACACGUGCUACAAUGAUAUCUACAACAGGAAGCAAAACGGCGACGUUAAGCAAAUCCUUAAAAGAUAUCUCAGUUCGGAUUGCACUCUGCAACUCGAGUGCAUGAAGCUGGAAUUACUAGUAAUCGUGGAUCAGCGUGCCACGGUGAAUGCGUUCCCGGGUCUUGUACACACCGCCCGUCACACCAUGGGAGUUGGUUCUACCUUAAGGCAAGGUUUAAUACCCUUGACCACGGUAUAGUCAGCGACUGGGGUGAAGUCGUAACAAGGUAACCGUA